rnacentral:rRNA from 1 species
GAGGAAAGCUGGCGGCGUGCCUAAUACAUGCAAGUCGAGCGAACGGACGAGAAGCUUGCUUCUCUGAUGUUAGCGGCGGACGGGUGAGUAACACGUGGAUAACCUACCUAUAAGACUGGGAUAACUUCGGGAAACCGGAGCUAAUACCGGAUAAUAUUUUGAACCGCAUGGUUCAAAAGUGAAAGACGGUCUUGCUGUCACUUAUAGAUGGAUCCGCGCUGCAUUAGCUAGUUGGUAAGGUAACGGCUUACCAAGGCAACGAUGCAUAGCCGACCUGAGAGGGUGAUCGGCCACACUGGAACUGAGACACGGUCCAGACUCCCACGGGAGGCAGCAGUAGGGAAUCUUCCGCAAUGGGCGAAAGCCUGACGGAGCAACGCCGCGUGAGUGAUGAAGGUCUUCGGAUCGUAAAACUCUGUUAUUAGGGAAGAACAUAUGUGUAAGUAACUGUGCACAUCUUGACGGUACCUAAUCAGAAAGCCACGGCUAACUACGUG